CAGUAUUUUCAUUCAUAUAUUGGCUUGAAUCGGUGAUAUCAACAUUGGAGUGUGUGAAUACUCGGAGGUUAUGCCAGCAAAAAUAGAACGGAAGAUAGCGCUUCUUGGAGACAGUAGAAGGCAGAUUUUCACGGUAGUCUUUUGUUGAUUCCGUCAGUUGUAUAGCUGGAGAGUUUGUGGGAAGGUCUGACAGAAUCUACUAGAAUAUUUGACAGUCCUGCAGUUCGGUUGAGUGUUUGUACAACGGUGAAGGAAAACAUGACAGAUUUUACUCGAGGAUGAAGCUUUGCACCACUUGAGGAUCACAGAAGCCAAUUGGCGGAUUGGCAGUUGCCCAUUUGGAUCAACGACAAAUUCUGUCAGAUGGAUACCAAACUCCUCUGUUACUUCUAAAGCUUGGAUCCUCUGCUCCGCAGCCUGUCUUGUCUCUCGAUGAGGAGACAAUAUCCCAUUUAAAGUAUCCUGGAGAGCCUCUCUCAACGAUCCCUGAACAUCACCCAGACCAAUACUCAUCUCGGGAUUCAAUCAACCACCUUUAGUCAAGUAGGAAAACAGACAACGAAAAUCUCAUACGAUUCUUACAACACUUUGUUCAUUGAAUUAAAUGACACUUGGAAUCGCCUGAAAACCAGGUAUAGGUUAAAACUAGCGGCAAGAAUG
rnacentral:misc_RNA from 1 species